UACGAAGGGGGCUAGCGUUGCUCGGAAUCACUGGGCGUAAAGCGCACGUAGGCGGACUCUUAAGUCGGUGGUGAAAUCCUGGAGCUCAACUCCAGAACUGCCUUCGAUACUGGGGGUCUCGAGUUCGGGAGAGGUGAGUGGAACUGCGAGUGUAGAGGUGAAAUUCGUAGAUAUUCGCAAGAACACCAGUGGCGAAGGCGGCUCACUGGCCCGAUACUGACGCUGAGGUGCGAAAGCGUGGGGAGCAAACAGG
rnacentral:rRNA from 1 species